UUAUAUUCCUCAAUGGGGGGGAUGAGAAUCCCCGAUCAGGGGUCGACAACGAGCGCAGCCCGUUGGACGGAAUGGCCGCAGGCCAUGACGCCCGCAGGGCGAGCGAAGCGAGUCAAUCCCCCCCUCACCGCCA
rnacentral:sRNA from 1 species